rnacentral:misc_RNA from 1 species
CGCACAUUGCGCCCUUUGGCAUUCCGAAGGGCAUGCCCGUUCGAGCGUCAUUAAAUCCAAUCAAGCCUGGCUUGGUAUUGGGCGUCGGGGUGUCCCCGCGCCUCAAUUUCACCGGCUGGCCGUCGCCCGUCUUAGCGUUGUGACUUAUGUUUCGCUAGCGAUGGGAGGGGACCACGCCGUUAAACCCCACAGAUUCCCAAUGGAAUUUGAUUAAGGUUGACCUCGGAUCGGGUAGGAAUACCCGCUGAACUUAA